CCCACCAUAUUUGUUGGAUUAAUUUGCAUACUCACUCCUGAUUGGGCUGGUGGGUGUCAUAGAGGUAUAGUCAAUUUCCAUGUUUCUCUCUUAUUAUAUAGGAUUAUAGUGCCAAAGUAGAGACAGAUAACCUGAAUAAGGUGACAUUAGAAUUUCAGAUGAAAUUUCAGACGACUAGAUGAAACCUCCAGCCUUAAAAGGUCUACCUUAGAAUGACUGUCUAGCUGGCAAUCAUUUUUAUUUCUUGCUUACUCCCUGGUCUGAAUCUGUCCAUUCAGAUUGUUUUUUGAAGGUGGAAAAUGGAGGAGAAUAAGCCUGAAUGGCUUCUAGGAGUCUGGUAUAUCAUUCAGUUGUUUGGUAUGUUCAACUAAUGUAAUUUACUACUCUCAGUUUUGUUAACAGGUUUCUCAUUUAUCUCUCAAGUUCACAGUACUAGAAAUGAAAUACUUGGCUUGCAUCUUGCAAAUGUGACAACAUUAUCAAGCUUAAGUUAUGGUCACAGGAUUCUAGACCAUAGAAUCCCAGUAGCCUUUUAUUAUUUUUUAAACUGGGUCAAAUGGAAAAAUGUAACUGCCUUUUAAGUUUUUAAAAUACAUUUUGUUUUCUAUUUUUCAUCUGUUUCUCCUAUCCUUUUCUGGUGCUGUGAAAUCUGACAUUUCUUAAUUUGGCUUCAGAGGGAAUUAAGUACUUUGGCUCAGUGAUUUCUUGCAAGUGCAUUCCACUUUGUUAUAACCUACAAUAUACUAUUUGUAUAUUUUGUGAGAUGCUCUAUAAUUUUUUCUCAUUGAACAGUGUUUCUAGGCUAUAUAAUUAAGAUCUGGGACUUUGGGGGUAGAUGGAAUGAUUUACUAAGGUUAAAAAUUUACUAUACCAGGCAUAACAAACAUUAAAAAAAAAAAUCCUCACCUGAGGAUAUUUUUUAAAUUGCUUUUUCAGAGAGAGUGGAGGGAAGGGAGAGGGAGAGGGAGAGAGUGAAAUAUAUGAUGUGAAAGAGACACAUUGAUUGGCUGCUUCCAACAUCUAUUGGCUGGUUCUGACCAGGACGGGAGCCGGGGAUCAAACCUGUAACCCAGGUACAUGCCAUUGACCAGGAAUGGAACCUGUGCCCCUUCAGUCCGUGGCCUGACACUCUAAUCCCUGAGCCAUACUGGCCAGGGCAAUAAACUUUUUUAUAUGUGCUGUACUAUGUAGUUUUAUAAUUCUUACAUUUUAUUAUUGAAUUGCUUUCUUUGACUAGAAUGAGCUUCUAAAUGUGAACUACAAUAAGUCACUCUCUUUCAAUCAUAAUUAAAAGGAGGCUAGGGAUGUCCCCAAGGCUCUUUUUAUCCCAUAAAACUACAGAUAGUUUAGGUUGCAGCCUAGAAAUAAUUUAAGUUGGCCUCUUCUUCCCAUCUCAUAAACAAAUGGUGGGAGGAAACAAAAACAUUAAAAUAAAAGAGUAAUAGAGCUAUAUCUAUUGAAUAUGUUAUAUUGACAUUAUUAAAGCCAAUAUAUAACCAAUCUGAAAAGUUCAGAUACAUUUUUCUAUAAUUAUUUGGAUUGAUUCUAUCAAGUUUCCCAGGAAAUAGCCAGAGGCUUUGACCCCAUGUUUUGCUUUGCAAUAUUAUAAUAGAUAGUUAUUGAGUAAAAAUUGACAAUAAAGUCUUUUUGAUAUUUUAUAUCUAUAAAAUUUACCUGGAGAAAAUAUUUUUGAUAGGAAUAAAUCAUAAAAGAAAAUGUGUAAUAUCAGCACUGAAAAUGUGUAAUAUCAGUGCUGGUAAAUUAAAUCUAAGGGGAAGAUUGUAAAUGUAUAAAAUGUUCAUUAUAAUGACUAAAUCAAUUAAUUAAUUUUAAUUAAAACAAUGUUUAGUAAAUGUAAUUGUUUGACCAAAUUGUUUGCUCCAGAAAAUAGUUUCUCAAUGAAAAUUCAUCAGUGCAGGUUACAUUCCUAAGUGUAGAAUUAAAAUGACUUUGGAAAUCGUAGUAAGAUAUCUACUUUCAGUACCCUGAAAUUACUGAUGUGGAUUUAUAAAUGAAGGUCAAAACAAAAUCUGAUAAAAAUGGUAUGAUGCAUUUAUGUGUGGUUGUAAGUAAAAUUUAUGUGUUUAGUUUUAAAGAAAUGCUUUAUAAUUAAA